rnacentral:rRNA from 1 species
UACGUAGGGUGCAAGCGUUGUCCGGAAUUAUUGGGCGUAAAGCGCGCGCAGGCGGUCCCUUAAGUCUGAUGUGAAAGCCCACGGCUCAACCGGGGAGGGUCAUUGGAAACUGGGGGACUUGAGUGCAGAAGAGGAAAGUGGAAUUCCAUGUGUAGCGGUGAAAUGCGUAGAGAUGUGGAGGAACACCAGUGGCGAAGGCGACUUUCUGGUCUGUAACUGACGCUGAGGCGCGAAAGCGUGGGGAGCAAACAGG